UACGAAGGGGGCUAGCGUUGCUCGGAAUGACUGGGCGUAAAGGGCGCGUAGGCGGUUUAUACAGUCAGAUGUGAAAUUCCUGGGCUCAACCUGGGGACUGCAUUUGAUACGUAUGGACUUGAGUGGAGAAGAGGGUCGUGGAAUUUCCAGUGUAGAGGUGAAAUUCGUAGAUAUUGGAAAGAACACCGGUGGCGAAGGCGGCGACCUGGUCUUUAACUGACGCUGAGGCGCGAAAGCGUGGGGAGCAAACAGG
rnacentral:rRNA from 1 species